UACGUAGGGGGCAAGCGUUGUCCGGAUUCAUUGGGCGUAAAGAGCGUGUAGGCGGCCAGGUAGGUCGGUUGUGAAAACUGGAGGCUCAACCUUCAGAGGUCGACCGAAACCAUCUGGCUAGAGUCCGGGAGAGGAGAGUGGAAUUCCUGGUGUAGCGGUGAAAUGCGUAGAUAUCAGGAGGAACACCGGUGGUGCAGACGGCUCUCUGGACCGUAACUGACGCUGAGACACGAAAGCGUGGGUAGCAAACAGG
rnacentral:rRNA from 1 species